GUAAGUUCAGCGGGUAUCCCUACCUGAUCCGAGGUCAAACUUAGAAAGUUGGGGGUUGCUGGCCAGCAUCCACCUGGGGUCACGAGCGAGGAGUAUUACUACGCUGAGAGCCAGAUGCGCCGCCACUGAUUUUAAAGCCUGCGGUUACCCGCUGGGCUCAAGACCAAGCUGAGCUUGAGUGUUGUACUGACGCUCGAACA
rnacentral:misc_RNA from 1 species